AUGUAAAUUUUUGUGUGGUUAUUAAUUAAUUUUAAAAAUUAAUUUAUUUUAUAUAUUCGCAGUAAUUAAUAUUAAUAAUUUAAGAAAUUUAGAAUUAGUUAUAUUUAUAAUAUUAACGAAAUUUGUGCCAGCAGUUGCGGUUAAACAAAUAAUAUAAAUAUUUUAUUUUAAAAUUAGUUAAAUAUGUUUAUGUUAAAUUUAAAGUUAAAUUAUUAGGUGAAAUUAUAAUUUAAUUUAAAGUUUUAUUAAAUAUAAUUGAAGCUAAAAAAUUUUUGAUAUAAACUAGGAUUAGAUACCCUAUUAUUAAAAAUGUAAUUUUAAAAUUUUUAGGUAGUAAUAGUUAUGUUCUUGAAACUUAAAAAAUUUGGCGGUAUUUUAGUCUAUUCAGAGGAACUUGUCCUAUAAUUGAUAAUCCACGUUGGACCUUACUUAAAUUUGUAAUCAGUUUAUAUACCGUCGUUAUCAGAAUAUUUUAAAAGAAUAAUAAUUUUCUUAAAUUUAUAAAUAAUUUUAUUUCAGAUCAAGGUGUAGCUUAUAUUUAAGAAGAGAUGAGUUACAUUAAAAGUAUUUAUAUGAAUAUUAAUAUGAAAAAUUAAUUGAAAGUGGAUUUGAAAGCAAAUUUAUAAAGAUAAAUAAAUUGAUUUUAGCUCUAAAAUAUGUACAUAUCGCCCGUCGCUCUUAUUUUAAAAUAAGAUAAGUCGUAACAUAGUAGAUGUA
rnacentral:rRNA from 1 species